GGGAAAGUGACUGGCCUGGGAGUGCACAGGCAAGCUGUGAAAAUACUCAGCUCAACAGAAGGUGAGCUCUGAAUGAAGGGAGAGAAACCAUCAACAACAUCAUCAACUCCUGAGAAGGACUCGGGACGCUGGGGACUCACUGAAACACUCCCCUCAGAAUGACGCUGAGAACUGUAGGAUGCAGAGGAGGUGGGGAAGGGAUUCCAGAAGAAAUUAAUCCCAAGGACAUCAUGCCACACAUUUCCCAGAGGAGCUCUGGAUUAAAGACGAUUCUUCCUUGUUGGGUAGGAAAAAUGGUAGACUGAAAGGACGGACUAAGGUCAUGUUUUAAUGUGCAUUGCCCCAGCAUAGCCAAACACUGUUAUAAUCACCAACAAGAAAAGGAGAUAAUGUGGACAAGGUAAUUAAAAAAAUGUCUAAAUAUAUUUAAAAUGAAGGAGGAGAGUUAUGUAAAGAGAUUAAUGUGAAAGGAAAAAGCAGUGACUUAGACUAGAAAAGGGGGAUUGGUAAGUCCCCCCCUGCUCAACUCAAUAUGGUAUGUAUUUAAACUAUAGAAAUUGCUGGUCCUUUGAGUAAAAUGCUGUUGCUGCUGUAUUUGGCAAAGGCAGAUGAGAAGUGAUAAGAACUCUUCCUGCAGUAGUUACGAUGACUCAGGAAAUAAUUACAAGCUUCAUCACUUUUUUAAUGACUUUGGAUAUAAAAACUGCUUUGAAACCUUAUAAAAUAAUAAAUAUUUAAAAUCUAGAUAAUGAAAAAGCACCAGAGCAUAGCACUGGGCUUUUAUUCAGACAAAAUAACUAACCUGUGGUACUCUUUCAAUUUAUACUAAUGAAAACUAAUCUGUAC
rnacentral:lncRNA from 1 species